rnacentral:rRNA from 1 species
CCUACGGGGGGCUGCAGUGGGGAAUAUUGGGCAAUGGGCGAAAGCCUGACCCAGCAACGCCGCGUGAGGGAAGAAGGUUUUCGGAUUGUAAACCUCUGUCCUUGGGGACGAAAAAAAUGACGGUACCCAAGGAGGAAGCCCCGGCUAACUACGUGCCAGCAGCCGCGGUAAUACGUAGGGGGCGAGCGUUGUCCGGAAUUACUGGGCGUAAAGGGUGCGUAGGCGGUUAUUGAAGUCAGAUGUGAAAUCCCCGGGCUCAACCCGGGUAGUGCAUUUGAAACUGGGUAACUAGAGUGCAGGAGAGGGAAGCGGAAUUCCUAGUGUAGCGGGGAAAUGCGUAGAUAUUAGGAGGAACACCAGUGGCGAAGGCGGCUUUCUGGACUGUAACUGACGCUGAGGCACGAAAGCGUGGGGAGCAAACAGGAUUAGAUACCCCAGUAGUC